AACGAACGCUGGCGGCAUGCCUAACACAUGCAAGUCGAACGAGACCAUCGGGUCGAUUGGCGCACGGGUGCGUAACGCGUGGGAACCUGCCCUUGGGUUCGGAAUAACUCCCCGAAGGGGGUGCUAAUACCGGAUAAGGUCCUCGUACCAAAGAUUGGUGGCCUUUGGAUGAGCCCGAGUUUGGUAACCUAGUUGGUAGGGUAAAAGCCUACCAAGGCGACGAUCGAUAGCUGGUCUGAGAGGAUGAUCAGCCACACUGAGACUGAGACACGGCCCAGACUACUACGGGAAGCAGCAGUGGCGGAUAUUGGAAAGUGGGCGGAAGGCUGAAGGAGCAAUGCCGCGUGAGUGCUGAAGGCCUUAGGGUUGUAAAGCUAGUUUACCCGGGAUGAUAUUGACAGUACCGGGAGAAUAAGCUCCGGCUAACUCCGUG
rnacentral:rRNA from 1 species